UGAUAAUUAGUUUAAACCAAAAUAAAUGAUUUCGACUCAUUAGACUGUAGCUAAUACUACAAUUAUCAA
rnacentral:tRNA from 2 species